UACGGAGGGGGGCUAGCGUUGUUCGGAAUUACUGGGCGUAAAGCGCACGUAGGCGGCUUUGCAAGUCAGAGGUGAAAGCCCGGGGCUCAACCCCGGAAUUGCCUUUGAGACUGCAUCGCUAGAAUUGUGGAGAGGUAAGUGGAAUUCCGAGUGUAGAGGUGAAAAUUCGUAGAUAUUCGGAAGAACACCAGUGGCGAAGGCGACUUACUGGACACAUAUUGACGCUGAGGUGCGAAAAGCGUGGGGGAGCAAACAGG
rnacentral:rRNA from 1 species